rnacentral:lncRNA from 1 species
UUGGAAAAUGCUGAAAGGCACGACACUUAUUGUCGUGAAAAUCCCGCGAGUGACUUGUCAUCCUGAUGGGGCCACUCCCUUAAAUCCAUCUUUAGACAAAAUGCCCAAAUUAACCCUAAAUUGUUUGCCGGAAAUACUCCUCUGCGUCCCUUCACCAUUCUUCCUUACCUUCAACUACGCCAUCUUCAUCGUUCCAUAAUUGUGAGGAUCAAAUCGAAAUCGAAAAUUGAAACCAACAGAUGUUGAGGAUCAAACCAAAGAUUUCUGCAGAAGAGCAGAUGCUGAUGACGAACAUACGCACAUUGGAAAAGGACAUCGAUUCAGGUUAAUUUCAAAUCCGCGUUGAAUUUUUGUGGGUCUUGGUUUGUUUUUUCCAAGUGUGUGUAUGGAUAGUUUAAGAAGUGAUACCUUUAAAUUUGGGUUUAAUGUCAUCUUCUUUUUGUCUGCCUUUGAUAUUCUCAGAUUUUUGUAGGUGAUGGAGUGCGUCUACAAGCCACUUGCUGCAAAACUCAUUGUUGGCACUUGGCAUUAUAAGCUAAAUUGAACUUGGUGUGUUGGAUUAAGUGUUAGAUUAGAUUAUGUGAAACUGGUUUUUAUAGGAUCUUGUUAAAAGUGCUUGUGUAGCUUAGUUGGUUGAUUGAGAGUUAUUUGUUCUUGGUUGGUUUUUUCCAAGUGUGUGUUUGUAUUAUGUUUUGUUACUCUUGCUGUAUUAUGCAGGUUCUGUUUGUUGCCUUGCCUUUAUACUUAAGGUUUUAUUCUAAUAAAGUUCGUUGUUUC